rnacentral:rRNA from 1 species
GAUCAUGGCUCAGGACGAACGCUGGCGGCGUGCCUAACACAUGCAAGUCGAACGGGGCUAGGAAAGCUUGCUUUCCGAAGCCUAGUGGCGGACGGGUGAGUAACGCGUGAGUAACCUGCCUUUCAGAGGGGAAUAACGUUCUGAAAAGAACGCUAAUACCGCAUAACGUACAGUUACCGCAUGGUAGCAGUACCAAAGGAGCAAUCCGCUGAAAGAUGGACUCGCGUCCGAUUAGCUAGUUGGUGGGGUAAAGG